rnacentral:rRNA from 1 species
GUAAGCUACUAAGAGCGAAUGGUGGAUGCCUUGACUGGUAAAGGCGAUGAAGGACGUACUAGACUGCGAUAAGCUACGGGGAGCUGUCAAGAAGCUUUGAUCCGUAGAUUUCCGAAUGGGGCAACCCAAUGUAUAGAGAUAUACAUUACCUAUAUAGGAGCGAACGAGGGGAAUUGAAACAUCUUAGUACCCUCAGGAAAAGAAAUCAAUAGAGAUUGCGUCAGUAGCGGCGAGCGAAAGCGCAAGAGGGCAAACCCAGUGCUUGCACUGGGGGUUGUAGGACUGCAAUGUGCAAGAGCUGAGUUUAGCAGAACAUUCUGGAAAGUAUAGCCAUAGAGGGUGAUAGUCCCGUAUGCGAAAAACAAAGCUUAGCUAGCAGUAUCCUGAGUAGGGCGGGACACGAGGAAUCCUGUCUGAAUCCGGGUCGACCACGAUCCAACCCUAAAUACUAAUACCAGAUCGAUAGUGCACAAGUACCGUGAGGGAAAGGUGAAAAGAACUGAGGUGAUCAGAGUGAAAUAGAACCUGAAACCAUUUGCUUACAAUCAUUCAGAGCCCUAUGUAGCAAUACAGGGUGAUGGACUGCCUUUUGCAUAAUGAGCCUGCGAGUUGUGGUGUCUGGCAAGGUUAAGCAAACGCGAAGCCGUAGCGAAAGCGAGUCUGAAUAGGGCGCUUAGUCAGAUGCUGCAGACCCGAAACGAAGUGAUCUAUCCAUGAGCAAGUUGAAGCUAGUGUAAGAACUAGUGGAGGACUGAACCCAUAGGCGUUGAAAAGCCCCGGGAUGACUUGUGGAUAGGGGUGAAAGGCCAAUCAAACUUCGUGAUAGCUGGUUCUCUCCGAAAUAUAUUUAGGUAUAGCGUUGUGUCGUAAUAUAAGGGGGUAGAGCACUGAAUGGGCUAGGGCAUACACCAAUGUACCAAACCCUAUCAAACUCCGAAUACCUUAUAUGUAAUCACAGCAGUCAGGCGGCGAGUGAUAAAAUCCGUCGUCAAGAGGGAAACAACCCAGACUACCAGCUAAGGUCCCUAAAUCUUACUUAAGUGGAAAACGAUGUGAAGUUACUUAAACAACCAGGAGGUUGGCUUAGAAGCAGCCAUCCUUUAAAGAAAGCGUAAUAGCUCACUGGUCUAGUGAUUUUGCGCGGAAAAUAUAACGGGGCUAAAGUAAGUACCGAAGCUGUAGACUUGCACACAACUUAGAUUAUUUAAGUUUAGAAUAUGAGAAACUAAGUUAUAUGUUUAGUUAUAUUUUUACUGAUUUUUAUAGAGUAAAGAUAGAAAUAAAACUUAGUAAAAUCAGUAAAAAUAUUCUUAGACUAAAGUUAAGUAGUUUAAGUUGUGUGCAAGUGGUAGGAGAGCGUUCUAUUUGCGUCGAAGGUAUACCGGUAAGGAGUGCUGGAGCGAAUAGAAGUGAGCAUGCAGGCAUGAGUAGCGAUAAUUAAUGUGAGAAUCAUUAACGCCGUAAACCCAAGGUUUCCUACGCGAUGCUCGUCAUCGUAGGGUUAGUCGGGUCCUAAGUCGAGUCCGAAAGGGGUAGACGAUGGCAAAUUGGUUAAUAUUCCAAUACCAACAUUAGUGUGCGAUGGAAGGACGCUUAGGGCUAAGGGGGCUAGCGGAUGGAAGUGCUAGUCUAAGGUCGUAGGAGGUUAUACAGGCAAAUCCGUAUAACAAUACUCCGAGAACUGAAAGGCUUUUUGAAGUCUUCGGAUGGAUAGAAGAACCCCUGAUGCCGUCGAGCCAAGAAAAGUUUCUAAGUUUAGCUAAUGUUGCCCGUACCGUAAACCGACACAGGUGGGUGGGAUGAGUAUUCUAAGGCGCGUGGAAGAACUCUCUUUAAGGAACUCUGCAAAAUAGCACCGUAUCUUCGGUAUAAGGUGUGGUUAGCUUUGUAUUAGGAUUUACUCCGAAAGCAAGGAAACUUACAACAAAGAGUCCCUCCCGACUGUUUACCAAAAACACAGCACUCUGCUAACUCGUAAGAGGAUGUAUAGGGUGUGACGCCUGCCCGGUGCUCGAAGGUUAAUUGAUGGGGUUAGCAUUAGCGAAGCUCUUGAUCGAAGCCCGAGUAAACGGCGGCCGUAACUAUAACGGUCCUAAGGUAGCGAAAUUCCUUGUCGGUUAAAUACCGACCUGCAUGAAUGGCGUAACGAGAUGGGAGCUGUCUCAAAGAGGGAUCCAGUGAAAUUGUAGUGGAGGUGAAAAUUCCUCCUACCCGCGGCAAGACGGAAAGACCCCGUGGACCUUUACUACAGCUUGACACUGCUACUUGGAUAAGAAUGUGCAGGAUAGGUGGGAGGCUUUGAGUAUAUGACGCCAGUUGUAUAUGAGCCAUUGUUGAGAUACCACUCUUUCUUAUUUGGGUAGCUAACCAGCUUGAGUUAUCCUCAAGUGGGACAAUGUCUGGUGGGUAGUUUGACUGGGGCGGUCGCCUCCCAAAUAAUAACGGAGGCUUACAAAGGUUGGCUCAGAACGGUUGGAAAUCGUUCGUAGAGUAUAAAGGUAUAAGCCAGCUUAACUGCAAGACAUACAAGUCAAGCAGAGACGAAAGUCGGUCUUAGUGAUCCGGUGGUUCUGUGUGGAAGGGCCAUCGCUCAAAGGAUAAAAGGUACCCCGGGGAUAACAGGCUGAUCUCCCCCAAGAGCUCACAUCGACGGGGAGGUUUGGCACCUCGAUGUCGGCUCAUCGCAUCCUGGGGCUGGAGCAGGUCCCAAGGGUAUGGCUGUUCGCCAUUUAAAGCGGUACGCGAGCUGGGUUCAGAACGUCGUGAGACAGUUCGGUCCCUAUCUGCCGUGGGCGUAAGAAGAUUGAAGAGAUUUGACCCUAGUACGAGAGGACCGGGUUGAACAAACCACUGGUGUAGCUGUUGUUCUGCCAAGAGCAUCGCAGCGUAGCUAAGUUUGGAAAGGAUAAACGCUGAAAGCAUCUAAGCGUGAAGCCAACUCUAAGAUGAAUCUUCUCUAAGCUCUCUAGAAGACUACUAGUUUGAUAGGCUGGGUGUGUAAUGGAUGAAAGUCCUUUAGCUGACCAGUACUAAUAGAGCGUUUGGCUUAUCUUUA